UAGCGAAAGCUAGUUGCAUUAAAUUCGAUUAAUUCGAAGUWAUUGCAGCAUCGACUAUGUCGAAUAAAGUUCUAGGUAGAGUUAUGAUAAUGACAUUUUCUAUCUAUGUGUCUUGACCAAAUCACGUGCCAGCAGUCGCGGUAAUACGUGGAAGACUAGUGUUAUUCAUCUUUAAUAGGUUUAAAGGGUACUUAGACGGUAUUUUUAGCCCAAAUAAAAACAAAGGGUACUAAUUAUACUAGAGUUUAAUGAGUGGGGGGUGCGUACGAAUGGUGUAGAGAUGAAAUUCUGUCAUACCAUUAUGACAGGCGACGGCGAAAGCAACCUUUAGUUAAAAACUGACGUUAAAGGACGAAGGCUUUGUAUCACCAACAGGAUUAGAUACCCAAGCAGUCUAAGCAGACAAUUAUGAAUGCCAUAGAUAAGAAAUCCAUAGAUAAAGAAAGAAGAAAACAUGUACUUUUCAGAAUGCCCUUUUUGGGCAUUGGUUUAUUAAAACCAAAAUAAACUUCUCCUCUUCACUUCUUCAUUUAUUGAAGAAAGAGAGAAGUCGAGAUGAAAAAAAUGGCUCGUAAUCUUAUCUAUCAUCAUCAUCUUUCAGAUGAUGAAGAAUACAUUUCUUUUAGACAUCGACUAUGUCGAAGUUAACAAAAAAAGAAAUAGGAUGUAUUUUUGUCUAUAAAUGAAAGUGUAAGCAUUCCACCUCAAGAGUAAAGUGGCAACGCACAAACUGAAAUCAUUAGACCGUUUCUGAAACCAGUAGUGAAGUAUGUUGUUUAAUUUGAUGGUCCGCAAAAAACCUUACCACAAUUUGUAUAUUAUUAGCUUAAUACAAGAGUUGCACGGCUGUCUUCAGUUAAUGUCGUGAGAUUUUGGUUAGUUCCAUAAAAUUAACGUAAACCCUUACUUUAUUUAUAUUAUAAAGUAGUUCACCGCUAUAUUGGAUAUGAUA
rnacentral:rRNA from 1 species